CUCCACACAAUUCCCACGCUAGAUAUUUGAGGGUAAUCUGAUGCAAUCCAGGAUGGAUGUAAUUACUCCCAGGUGAAUUCCAUGGGAGAGACUGAUGCCUGGGGGAGGCACGCACAGCAGCAACCAUGGAAUCUGGAAGCGAUGGCAACUAUAUUUCCUGAGGGUCCCGCCAUCUCUGAUUCUGCUGUGAACAUAUGUGGCAGCACCUAGUGCCUGAGGUCCUGCUGCAGAGUUCCUGACAACCAGCUGCAUCAUCUUUUGUAACUUCAGUACAUUUGAAAAAGUGAGCACAGUGCACAGGGGUUUCACGAUCUGCACAGGAGGACCUCAGGCUUCUAGGUCUGCCCCAUCACUAAGUGAGAUGUUCUUCCUCGGCAAUAUGUGGAGGAGGCAAUGUUGCCAUGUAAAAAAGAUGCAUCUGUGAUGUGGAACUGUGGAAGACUGAACUCAAGAGUGGAAAAUGAAAUCAACAGAUUUGUACAUCUCUAAUCCCUCACCACCAAAUAAUCCCAAUAAACAGCCAUUCAUUGGAGGAAACGUUCCCAAGUCAAUUGCUAUUAUUUCCAGUUCUGUGCAGGUUCGGUCGGCUCAUUCACGGGUGGCGCUCAAUGUCCAGUCUUCCGAGGAGGAUCUCCCGGUGCCUAGAGUCCCUUCAUCUGGUGGCAAGCAGCCGAGGAGUCAUCGCUCCAAACACAGGGCCAAGAGGCACAGAGAGAGUGAUUCCUCCUCAUCUACUGAUAUGUCUCCUCAAACCUCUGAUCAUGACUCAGACACAGUCCUGGGUCUGUACUGGGGUCACAGUGAGGGGGCUUUGGGCCUUCCCAGGUGUGCAUGGCAGCGUAGAGCCAACACGCACAGGGCAAAUCGUUCUCGCCCUGUACAACCACUCACUUUCUGUAAUCAAUAAAGUUGUGGCCUAAAUUCUGCCAAAAACCAAACUAAAAUUUGAGUCAAAUGUGUCUUCAUUUAGGGGGGAGGUCUCUGAGUCAGAACACGCAACAGUAAGUUUCUCAUUGGUCCUUUUUUUUGCAGCCUAACACAGUGUAGCACAUUUGACAGAGGGGAAUAAAAAUGGGAAAAUGUGACAUGAUGGAGAAAAGCUUCAGAAUAGCUGCAAAACAGCUUCUGAGUAGAGCAGGAGCAUUUAAUUUGAGAAUUUUAGCAUUCUAGCCACUGAAUCCUUAAAAGUAUAUACAGUGGUACCUCGACUUACGAACGACUCAACAACCAAAUUUUCGACUUAUGAAUGGGGCAAAUGGUCGAACGCUUACGAAUUUCUUGACAUCUGAACGGAUACCGUGGCGGUUUUAGAUAGGGUUUUUUCGACUCACGAA